rnacentral:rRNA from 1 species
UCAAGCUACUAAGGGCAUACGGCGGAUGCCUAGGCGCCAUCAGCCGAUGAAGGACGCGGUAAGCUGCGAAAAGCUACGGGGAACUGCAAGCAAGUAUUGAUCCGUAGAUGUCCGAAUGGGGAAACCCACCUGCCGUCAUGGGCAGGUAUCCGAAAGGAAGGGAACCCGGGGAACUGAAACAUCUAAGUACCCGGAGGAAGAGAAAUCAAACGAGAUGCCCACAGUAGCGGCGAGCGAAGAGGGCAGAGGGCAAACCGGGGAGCUACGGCUCUCCGGGGUUGAGGACUGCAUUUAGUCUCAAUGGUCUAUCCGAACUACCUGGAAAGGUAGGCAACACAGUGUAAAAGCCACGUAGGUUAAAGACCAGAGAGAUGAGCAGUAUCCAGAGUACCACGAGGCACGAGGAAUCUUGUGGGAAGCCGGGGGGACCACCCUCCAACCCUAAACACUGAAUGGCGACCGAUAGCGCAUAGUACCGUGAGGGAAAGGUGAAAAGAACCCCGGGAGGGGAGUGAAAGAGAACCUGAAACCGUAUGUCUACAAGCAGUCGGAGCGAAAGCGACGGCGUGCCUAUUGAAGAAUGAACCAACGAGUUACGUGCACUAGCGAGGUUAAGUGGAAGACACGGAGCCGAAGCGAAAGCGAGUCUUAAGAGGGCGGAUAGUUAGUGUACGUAGACCCGAAACCGCAGUGAUCUACCCAUGUCCAGGUUGAAGCGCAGGUAAAAUUGCGUGGAGGACCGAACCUGUGAGCGUUGAAAAGCUUUAGGAUGAGAUGUGGGUAGAGGUGAAAUUCCAAUCGAACGCGGAGAUAGCUGGUUCUCCCCGAAAUAGCUUUAGGGCUAGCCUCAAGUAGUAAGUAUAGGCGGUAGAGCACUGAUCGGGCUAGGGGCCAUAAAGGUUACCGAACCCUGUCAAACUCCGAAUGGUUAUACUGUAGAGCUUGGGAGUCAGACUACGAGUGAUAAGAUCCGUGGUCAAAAGGGAAACAGCCCAGACCACCAGCUAAGGUCCCCAAUGUCGUACUAAGUGGAAAAGGAUGUGGGGUCUCUAAAACAACCAGGAUGUUGGCUUAGAAGCAGCCACCAUUUAAAGAGUGCGUAAUAGCUCACUGGUCGAGAGACCCUGCGCCGAAGAUUACCGGGGCUAAAGUACGAAACCGAAGCUGUGGCUACGACGUAAGUCGUGGGGUAGGGGAGCGUUCUGUGAGGGCUGAAGUCGUUCUGUAAGGAACGGUGGACUUCACAGAAGUGAGAAUGUUGGUAUGAGUAGCGAAAAGAAUGGUGAGAAUCCAUUCCACCGAAAGCAUAAGGAUUCCUGGGCAACGAUCGUCGUCCCAGGGUAAGUCGGGACCUAAUCCGAGGCAUGGAGCGUAGGAGAUGGACAACUGGCAGAUAUUCCAGUACCGGUAAUGAUUGUUUGAGCGAUGGAGUGACACAGGAGGGCAGGCAGGCAGGAGAUUGGUUGUUCCUGUACAAGCGUGUAGGAUGGGACGUAGGCAAAUCCGCGUCCUGUGAGUCUGAGGCGUGAUGUGGAGGUUCCGGAAACGGAACUGAAGCUGCUGACCCCACACUGUCGAGAAAAGCUUCUAGUUAGAGAAUUACCGCCCGUACCGUAAACCGACACAGGUAUGCGGGGAGAGAAUCCUAAGGUGCGCGGGAGAACCCUCGUUAAGGAACUCGGCAAAAUGUACCCGUAACUUCGGGAUAAGGGUAGCCGCUGUUGUGAAGUCUGAACAGACGGAGCAUGAGGCGGUCGCAGAGAAGAGGCCCAAGCGACUGUUUACCACAAACACAGGUGCCUGCUAAAGAGAAAUCUGACGUAUAGGUGCUGACACCUGCCCAGUGCCGGAAGGUUAAGGAAGGAUGUCCGGAGCAAUCCAAAGCAUUCGACCGAAGCCCCGGUGAACGGCGGCCGUAACUAUAACGGUCCUAAGGUAGCGAAAUUCCUUGUCGGGU